AGAAAGAUCACUGACUAAAAACAAAACAAUGUUUCUACAUUGCUCAGUUUUUGGAAGCAGGACAACUGUUUUCCCGUUUGUGACAAUCAGAGGGGAUAAUAACAAAGGAGUUAGUGGGUAGUAAAUAGCCUCUCUAGGUCACAUGAACCCUCCCAUGGUUACCAAAGAGUCAACAAAAAAACAAAUACUAUCCCCCUCCCUUCUCUGGUUAAAGGAGAAUUGGAGAGAAUGGGAGGUCUUCUAAAAGUUUUUUUUUUUUUUUUUUAAAUAUCCUUUCUGGUAGUAAACUACUUUUCCUGGAUGGUCCCCUGGUUGCACAAGCUGUAAUCUCCUAGUAAGGAUUUACUACUUUUCUGUGGGUAAGGGGACUCCUGCUGAUAGCUCAAUUCAGCCUUGCAAACAAGUCUUGGGUUGAAUCCUCCCUGCUUCCCCCUGCACAGGACCCCUAUCUAUAAAGUAAUAAUAGAAAGCCCUUUACAGCAGUAUUUAGAUUUAACGUCCUUCCAGCAGUAAAAGGCCUAAGAAAGCACCAAUUUUUCUUAAAUGCCAUUGACUGGUGAAAGACAUCUUUCCCAACCCCCACCCUCCUCACUUUCUGAGGGAUGACUCUCAUUAAUUAUACUGGCACAUCUUUCCCUGCCUCCCUGAUAAAUAGCUGCCAGACUACAUAUCACCUCUGCCUCAAUACAGAAUGUGCAUGGACAUCAGAAUCACAGAAAAUUCUGUAAGAAGUGCCUGAUACACGAUAAAAUGACUGGUGCCUUGUGGUAAGCCCAUUGUGUCUCACUCUUACCUCAGACUCCGAGUGUGGGAUUAUAGGUGUGUAACACCACAGCCGGCCUAUCCAAUUCAUCUUACCUGGGGGCCACCCGACAACAUGUUCUAUAAAACAGACCACGAUAAAGCCAAAAAGCAGAUGUUCUGAGCCCAGAAACAAAGCUGCUGAUCAGUGGGAUUUCUCCACUCAGAGACCACAGGACCUUCCAAGAGGUGCUAAAAACCAGGGAAAAAAAACUGGGUCACAAGUAGAUCUACCUGUACCAGCUCAUCUUCACUGGAAUUAACUGGAAAGACAACAGCACAACACAGCUGGCAAAAGCCAUCUGAGCUACUUACAGUGAUGAAAUCUGACACUGUGGAAGGCAGGGCCCUAGGUCUGAGUUUUGUGAUUCAUAAAGCCAUACUAGAAAAGAACAAGGCUAAAGACCUUAUCACAAAACUAGUUAAAGUGGAUGCUGUUGGAUAUCUGGGAAGAUGGCAGAGUGGUGAAGGGCAAAGAAACAGCCUCUCUGAGAUUCGGUGUCCAGAUGUUCAAAUACAGCAACAUAAGGAAGGGAAGGAGGGAUGUGGGUUCUCAGGACCCAGCAAGUGAGAAUCUGAAGUAAGAACUGAACCCCAGAGGGAGAGUGAAGAGAGAGACCACAUUGCAGAAGGAGGCAGUGAGCAGUGCUUUCUCCUGGAUCAGAGGUCUUCAUGGAAAAAUGCACUAGUGGAACGGAGCAGUGGAUGCAGCAGACAGCAGUGACAGGUGAGUUAUUCAGAUUCAGACAUCCACCAGGAGCAGGUUACUGUCCAGUAGCCAUCUUGGAGAGUAGCCAACUAAUCUCAGAACUCGGCAAAGCUACAGGCUGGCUCCAGUUAGCAGCUCCAGUAUCAGCGUGAGCGGAACAGAGUUCAAAUCAGGUCAAGCAGCUGGAUUCAAGCCAGCAGAAGGCACACAGAAUGCUACAUCGUGAACAAAUCAGGUUCUGGCCUCCUGGCCAGAAACCACCCAACGGCAAAGGGUUGCUGGGAUUAUCCAGUGACCUGCGAUAAAUCUAUAGCUGACUUGUUGGGAUUAAUCAACACAGUAAUAGACUCUCUCUGCCUGUUCUGUCUAACAGUUACAACAGAAAUACACCCUGAAGUGGACAUUUUUUUCUUAUUUGUUUUCUUUUUUGUUUGUUUAGUGUGAACAUUGUUUCUAGUUUUCUUGUCAUUAUUCUGUUGUUCUUGUUUCUUUUUUCUCUCCUGUCUUCUUCACCAGUUUCCCAAAGCUCCUAUAAUCUUCCUUCAUCCUCCAGUCUUGCUUCUUCCUCUUAAUUUCUCUAUUUUUCAGCCUAACCCCUUCUAAAUUUUCUCCCCUGAAGGUAAAAUCACCACAUUGAGGACAUAUUUACUAUAUGCAACUUUCUAGUUUGUUUUAGAUUUUGUUAGAUAGCCACAAAUAUAGUUCAAAUAGUUAAAGGUGGGAAAUUAAUGAUUAUCACAGUUUGACAUUUUCUAGGCUGUGUUUGAUGCUAUGGUUACUGUUGACUGUACUACUUUAGCCAAGGCGGCAUAAUUUUUCUAAUCAGUUGUUCUUCUGGUAUACCAAGACUAAGCUUGCCUUAGAGUUAGAAACAAUACUUAGGCCAGCACAAAGAACCAGGUGCCAGGGCAAAUAGGCAGCAACUUCCUAUUUCCAAUAAAUUGAAGAGGUAGGAUCUUGCAACAGACUCAAAACCCAAAAGCCAGCUAGCUAUACCUCAAAGACAUCUCUAAGAAGUAAUCAUUUCCCAAGGGUUCUAAAACUAGCAAUAAAGCUACCUGCCACAAGCAAUUUACAAGCAUCAACCCAGGAAU